CUCGUCGACCUAUCGACAGUUAGAAAUUAGUCCCUUCUCUAUUUCCAACCUGUGGUACGCGAAAUGACCUUGGAGAGGUGAACCAAGUGGGUAUGAGAAGAAAACAUUACAUUAUGGGAGUAUUAUUGUCUGCAUCUUCAUCUAGCGUGAAAGUCAAGGUGGUCAGGACUAAGAAGUCAUGUGGGAAAUGGGACAUUUACAAAAAGAUAAGCAACGGGUGUUUCCCACUGAGCACUGUAGUCCAGGACAAGAGACGUGAGAAGUCUUCAUUGGGAGAUGACUUCCACCUAAAAUACAAGUAUCAUGCAUCAUAAAAUAUUGUUCAGUACCUUCAAAUAAAAGUUGAUUAUUAUGUUA